UUUAGUAAUUUACACGAUGGCUUCAUACAAUUAUGGCAAAAAAUGAGACAUUCUCAUAACUCUAUAAAUAUCAUUUCAUAUUCACGAUAUAGUCAUCUGCUGGUAUCUAUACAAUCAUCUCAUCACAUUACAUGUGAUUCACAAAAAAUGUACUCUCUGAUUAAAAUCUGAAAUCCGUCCAUCGGGCCAAGCACUUUCGCCAUAGGCCUUUGGCCCUCUCUGUGCACGAAAGUUGGUCUCAAGGACCUCUAAUAAUAAUUCUAGAACACGGUCAAAGCCUCUUAGUGAACCAUAUGUACAUAGUCACAACCUCUUCAUCCUCAGUCGAGCCCUCAGUGUAGUAUAGAACACUACCAAUGCUCCUCUGUGAACUAGAAGAAGUAUAUAAUCACGGUUACUUUUCUGAUUAAU
rnacentral:lncRNA from 1 species